UCCCUGGUCGUCUAGUGGUUAGUACUUAGCACUGUCACUGCUAGGGCCUGAGUUCAAUUCCUAGUUGGGGAA
rnacentral:tRNA from 1 species